rnacentral:rRNA from 1 species
CAUUAGAGUUUGAUCCUGGCUCAGGACGAACAGGCGGCGUGCUUAACACAUGCAAGUCGAACGGAGCUAUUUAUUUCGGAAAAUCGCUUAGUGGCAAACGGGUGAGUAACGCGUAGGCAACCUGCCCUCAGGAUGGGGACAACGGCUCGAAAGAGCUUCCUAAUACCGAAUGACGUAACUCUUCCACAUGGAAGAGAUACUAAAGGUGGGUCAAACCAUCGCCUAAGGAUGGGCCUGCGUCUGAUUAGCCAGUUGGUGAGGUAACGGCUCACCAAAGCGACGAUCAGUAGCCGGUCUGAGAGGAUGAACGGCCACAAUGGGACUGAGACACGGCCCAUACUCCUACGGGAGGCAGCAGUGGGGAAUCUUCCGCAAUGGGCGAAAGCCUGACGGAGCAACGCCGCGUGAGUGAAGAAGGUCUUCGGAUCGUAAAGCUCUGUUGUCGGGGACGAAAGGGCAGACGAGGUAAUGCGUUUACUAAGACGGUACCCGACGAGGAAGCCACGGUUAACUACGUGCCAGCAGCCGCGGUAAUACGCAUCGGCAAGCUUUGCCCGGAAUUAUUGGGCGUACAGGGAGCGCCGGUG